GCGGGUGUAGUACAACGGUUAGUAUACAAGUUUUCCAAACUUGGGACGGGAGUUCGAUUCUCCCCACCCGCACCA
rnacentral:tRNA from 1 species